AACUUUCUUUAGAAAGUGCGGGUAUAAAGAACAUGAAGAAGAAAAAGAAAAAUAUGAUACCUUUAAAUUAUAAAUUUUAUUACAAUUACUAAUAAACUGAUAAUUAUUUUUUCCGACAUUAUUAUUGUACACUAAAUGAAAUUUAUUUCAGGGAAAAAAUUGUUAACAUAUUAGCAUAAGCAUGUCAAGAUUGUUUUUAUCUUCCAACAUUUUUUUCUAGCUUUACUGGUCAGUGGCCAGAAAAGCUUAUGCUGUAGUAAGAUAAAUAUGCAAAACAAAACUGGAAAGAAUCAAUGAAUUGGUGCAAAACAUGGUCCGUGCCAACAUACUUAUAUGGAAAUAUAUCAUUAAUCAACGCCUCCCUUGCAUGCCGAGCGUUGUUUAGAACAAGAGAUGGUUCAUCAUGGCUUGGCAUUGCAAAGGAAGUUUAUAUUGGAUAUGAUAGAGGUGUUGUUCUUGACGCCGAACACAGACGGACCUUCCUGCAAUGUCAGAAAUGUAACCACACUGGUUGUGUAUUUGUCGAUUGUUUCAACAAACUGAGUUAUGUUCUCUGCCAAAAGACCUCAUUAGUUGAAACCAUCACUGUUGAUUAUGCUACAAAUGGAAUUUCCGAUCUCACCAUUCCUACAGGUA